CGGCCGGGCAUCCUCUUUAAAGGUACUAGUAACAUCCCCUUUGACAAGUGAAGAAACCGAGGCUUGGCAAGGUUAAUCAGCGUGCCCAAGGUCAGCCAGCUCCCUGAAGUCUGACUCUACCAGCCUCAACCGUUACCAGGGCGGCGAUGGUCAGCAGUCACAAUUACCAGGGGCUGCAGGAGAUCGUCAAAAUCUCGCAGAGCCUACGGACCAGGAAGCCUGGGACUUGGUGGGAACCUGACAAAUCGGAACCUGACGACCGGAACUCCACCACCGGAACUCCACCACGGGAACUCUUUCAGAAGCGAGGGGUCCAUUGGUUAAAAAGAUCCAGGACUAACAUCCACCUCAGCAUACCUUACCAUAAAUGGUCAGCUUCGAAGCCCUCCAAUCAGACUCUGACAAGCCAACAUUCCUAAAUCCUUUCCCUUGCCCUCUGAUCCCUAAAACUUGCUGCAGACCCCAAACUGGGGAGACAGUUUGGGACCCUGUUCUCCUUGCUGUCUGGCUUUGCAAUAAAGCCUUUUUUUUCUCAAGCGC
rnacentral:lncRNA from 10 species